UUAUUAAUAUUUCAUUAAAAGAUACUUGUAAAAUUUUGCAAGACGGUAAUAACAAAAAUGAUCACCCUCACAUGUAAUAAAUGAUUAUAUUCCAUUGUAAUAUUUUUUUAAUUUGUUUUGCAUAUAAUUUUAUAUAAUUCUAUAUAGCAAUAAAGUAAUAUGUAAGUAAUGCUAAGUAAUAUAAUAAUAUAAGUUAUGCCAUUGAUAUUUUUCAUAAAAGGAGACUUCACUUUUAUUGUUAUAAAGCAUUCUCUCUCUCGCACACUCACCCACUUAAUAUAUUUUUUAAAAUUCGAAAUAUAUUUUGCAACAUUUAUCAUUUUCAAUCAAUUAAUUUAACUUGCUACUUUUCGUAAUUAAAAUACAUUAUCAAACUCGAAUGUCCAAAAUACGAGACAAACCAUUAUGAGUCUUAGCUCACUAUACAAUAAUAUACUCAUAUGGGACAUUAUGAAAAUUAUUAUCAAGAGUGUAAUAUUUCGAUUACGUUUAAGCUUUUUUUUACGAGAAACUAUUAUUCGUUUCUAUACGAAAUACGAAUAUUUCGACAUUUUUAUUACAGCCAAAGUAUUAUUCUUACUAGUCACAAGUAAAAAUUAAUUUCCUAAUAUAAUAAUGUAUAAUUCAGUCUUACCUUAACGUUAUUGAAAUGUCAAUCUACUCUUUGAAUUGUUUCUUCAUAAUUGCGCCACGAUUGGGCCAUUAUUAUAGGCCUAUUGACAAUUACGCUCAUUAUCCAGACGCACUUAAAGAACGACUCUAGGUUGUAACAUUCCGCAAAUGCUUGGUUGAAAAUGCCUGCCAAUCAUCGAUCAAACUGCUCUAUCUUUUAUUUCAGGAAGCAUUUUCAUCGAUUAGUGAACAUGCAAAGUAACAAAUGUAAUGUACAAGAUAUGAGAAAAUAUCUAUUUUUGAACAUAAAAGAAGUCUGGUACGAAGGUUUACUGCAAUUUACCAAUGAUUAAAAUCUUACCUAAAUAACCAAACAUUCUACGUAAAAAUAAAUGAUUCGUACAGAGACGUACAAGCAACAAGCGCUGCAGUACUACAAGGAAGUCUGUUACGUCUAGUACUCUACACUUUAUACACUUCAGACGUUCUAGCAACACCAAACACUACACAUGUGUAUUUGCAGAUGAUACCGGAAUAAUAGCAAUGCGUAGAAAUCCACAGGAAGCAGUUAAACUCUUACAAAUCUACAUAAGUUCACUGAAAAAUGGUUGCUAGAGCAGAGAGUAAUGGUCAAUAACAAUAUGUGUAAUUACAUUGUUUUCGCUUUUCGUAGACACUCACGCUUCAUAUCAAUGAAUACCGCAAACAAAAGUGAUCAGAUAUCUGGAAUUCCAGUUACACUCGAAACUAACUUGGAAACAGCACGUACGCAAAAAGAUGCAACAAGAAUUAGGAGGAAAGACGUGUAGUGGUCAUGGUCACGUGUAGUAGACCGUCUUUCGAAACUUAGUAGAGAAAACAAACUACUAAUCUACAGAGUAUUAUCUACUACGGUAUUUCUAUAUAGGGUAUCUAUAGAGAGAUAAUAAAACUAAAACGUAUUGCCAAAGUGGAAGCUAUACAAUCAUACUUCGUACCAUAGUAGACGCACUUUGUUACAUAUUAAAUGAAGAACUACGCGGAGAUCUUCAAAUGUGCGCUAUAAAGUAGAAAAUUCAGCGAAUAUCCGGCAGAUGUAAAACAACGCCAAUGAACCACCCAAACGCGCUAGCCAAAUAAACUGUACACUGACACAAUGUCGUUUGAAGAUUAAAAAAGAAACGACCGCAGCAUUUAGAGUGACGCAAGAUCAAAUAUUGAAACAUUCUUGUAUACUGUUAAUCCAAUGGGAUUAAAGUGUAGGAAUCUACUGGAAGUUAUUAAAACAAAAAAAAAAAAAAAAAGAAAGAAAAAAUAUGCAACGCAAAGCACUUCUUUAAUUACGAUUGAGAGUAACCUAUAGUUAUUUGCAUUAUUUAAAUAUUAUAAUAUCGACAUCUGUGAAUAUUGGUAUGAAUGCAAAUAAUUAUAUACUUAUUAUUCAAAGUUGUUGAAUAUGAAUUAUUCACAUCUACAAGAAUGUUUCGAUUAAAUUUCUAAUGUUA